rnacentral:miRNA from 1 species
ACUGCAGGAUAUCUCGGUUGAAG